rnacentral:rRNA from 1 species
CAGUUCGGAUUGUAGGCUGCAACUCGCCUACAUGAAGUUGGAAUCGCUAGUAAUCGCGAAUCAGAAUGUCGCGGUGAAUACGUUCCCGGGUCUUGUACACACCGCCCGUCACACCACGAGAGUUUACAACACCCGAAGUCAGUGGCCUAACCGCAAGGAGGGAGCUGCCUAAGGUGGGGUAGAUGAUUGGGGUGAAGUCGUAACAAGGUAAC